CUCAGAAUCUUGAUGGGGUGGUCAUU
rnacentral:piRNA from 1 species